AACAGCCCAGAUCGUAGUCUAAGGUCCCUAAAUUAAGUUAAGUGGGAAAGGAAGUGAUUUUCCUAUGACAGGUAGUAGGUUGGCUUAGAAGUAGCCAUCCUUUAAAGAUAGUGUAACAACUCACUUCUCGAUUAUGGAAAGUUGCACCGAAAAUAUAACGGGGCUAAACUUAAUACCGAAGACACGGGCUUCUAAUUUAUUAGGAGCGGUAGGGAAGCGUUCUAUACGCGCUGAAGCUAUAUCCGCGAGGAAUGGUGGAGUGUAUAGAAGUGAGAAUGUUGGCAUGAGUAAUAGAAAAUUACGUGAGAUUCGUAAUCACCGAAAAUCUAAGGUUUCCUGGGCAACGGAUGUCGUCCCAGGGUUAGUCGGUCCUAAGGCGAGGCUGAAAGGCGUAGUCGAUGGACAGCUGGUUAAUAUUCCAGCACUACUUUUAUCGCAUAGAUAAGGGGGGACGGAACAUGAUAGUUUGAGCGCAUUAUUGGAUUUGCGUUAAUGGUUCUUAGGCUUGUUUUCUAGGUAAAUCCGGAAAACUUUAAGGUCGAAAACCGUUUAGACUUCUUCCUUCGGGCGGAAUAAUUCAAGUGGGUCAAGUUUUCAAGAAAAUCCUCUAUUCUUAGUUAAAAGUAUCCGUACCAAAACCAACACAGGUAGAUAGGUCGAGUAGACCAAGGUGAACGGGAGAACCCUCGUUAAGGAAUUCGGCAAAACAGCGGCCGUAACUUCGGGAUAAGGCCUCCCAAUUUCAGUUUACUGAGAUUGGGCGCAGUUAAAGACCCAUAGCGACUGUUUACCAAAAACACAGGUCUCCGCUAACUCGCAAGAGGAAAUAUGGGGGCUGACGCCUGUCCAGUGCCAGAACGUUAAGGCUUGGUGUGAAAGCUCUGAGCUCAAGCGCUGGUGAACGACAGCAAUAACUAUAAUUGUUCUAAGGUAGCGAAAUUCCUUGUCAUCUAAUUAGUGACGCGCAUGAAAGGCGUAACGACUGUGGGACUGUCUCAACGAGGGACCCGGUGAAAUUGCAAUAACGGUAAAGAUGCCGUUUACCUGCAGCAGGACGAAAAGACCCCAUGAAGCUUUACUAUAGCUUGAUAUUGGGUUACGAGUUUUGAUGUUCAGUAUAGGCGGGAGACGUUGAUACCUUGACGCCAGUCAAGGGGUAGUCACAAUAUGAGAUACCACCCUUCUGAGCUUGUAAUCCUAACCUUUGACCGUAUAUCCGGUCAGGGGACAGUGUCUGGUGGGUAGUUUAACUGGGGCGGUUGCCUCCUAAAGUGCAACGGAGGCGUUUAUAAGGUUGGCUAGAUCCGGAUGGAAAUCGGAUUGAUAGUGCAAAGGCACAAGCCAGCUUUACUGCGAGUCUGAUGGGACAAGCAGUUGCGAAAGCAGAACUUAGUGAUCCGACUUUUGAUUGUAGUAUCGAAGAAGCUCAACAGAUAAAAGCUACUCUGGGGAUAACAGGCUAGUCGCGCCCAAGCGUCCACAGCGACGGCGCGGUUCGGCACCUCGAUGUCGGCUCAUCUCAUCCUGGGGGUGAAGAAGCUCCCAAGGGUUUGGCUGUUCGCCAAUUAAAGAGGUACGCGAGCUGGGUUCAAACCGUCGUGAGACAGGUUGGACUCCUAUCCGCUGCAGGCAUGGAUACUUGAGAAGAUUCUUCUCUAGUACGAGAGGACCGAGAAGAGUAAACCUCUGGUGUACCAGUUGUUCCGCCAGGAGCAUCGCUGGGUAGCUAAGUUUAUUAAGGAUAAGCGCUGAAAGCAUCUAAGCACGAAGCCUACUUCAAGAUUAAGUAUCAUUUGAGACUCCUGAUAGACUAUCAGGUUGAUAGGAUGCAGGUGUAAGCACAGCAAUGUGUUUAGCCGAGCAUUACUAAUAAGUCAAU
rnacentral:rRNA from 1 species